rnacentral:rRNA from 1 species
ACGGGGUGCAGCAGGCGCGAAAUCUUCACAAUGUGCGAAAGCACGAUGAGGGGAUCCCAAGUGUUGGUUCGUAAGAAUCAUCUGUUUCUUUGUCUAAAAAACAGAGAGAGUAAGAGCUGGGUAAGACGGGUGCCAGCCGCCGCGGUAAUACCUGCAGCUCAAGUGGUGGCCGCUAUUAUUGGGCCUAAAACGUCCGUAGCCGGUUUAGUAAAUGCUUGGGUAAAUUGUGUAGCUCAACUAUACGAAUACCGAGUAGACUGCUGAACUUGGGACCGGGAGAGGCUAGAGGUACUCCUAGGGUAGAGGUGAAAUUCUGUAAUCCUAGGGGGACCACCAGUGGCGAAGGCGUCUAGCUAGAACGGGUCUGACGGUGAGGGACGAAGCCCUGGGGCGCAAACCGGAUUAGAUACCCGGGUAGUCCAGGGUGUAAACGCUGCUCGCUUGAUGUUAGUUGGGCUCCGAGCCCAACUAGUGUCGGAGAGAAGUUGUUAAGCGAGCUGCCUGGGAAGUACGGUCGCAAGGCUGAAACUUAAAGGAAUUGGCGGGGGAGCACAGCAACGGGUGGAGCGUGCGGUUUAAUUGGAUUCAACGCCGGAAAUCUCACCGGAGGCGACGGUUAUAUGAAGGCCAGGCUGAUGACCUUGCCUGAUUCUCCGAGAAGUGGUGCAUGGCCGUCGUCAGUUCGUACCGUGAGGCGUUCUGUUAAGUCAGACAACGAACGAGACCCUCAUCUUUAGUUGCUACUGGUAAGUCCGCUUAUUA